UACGGAGGGGGCUAGCGUUGUUCGGAAUUACUGGGCGUAAAGCGCACGUAGGCGGCUUUGUAAGUUAGAGGUGAAAGCCCAGAGCUCAACUCUGGAACUGCCUUUAAGACUGCAUCGCUUGAAUUGUGGAGAGGUAAGUGGAAUUCCGAGUGUAGAGGUGAAAUUCGUAGAUAUUCGGAAGAACACCAGUGGCGAAAGCGGCUCUCUGGGACGGUACUGACGCUGAGACGCGAAAGCGUGGGGAGCAAACAGG
rnacentral:rRNA from 1 species